rnacentral:rRNA from 1 species
GACGUAGGGCGCGAGCGUUGUCCGGAUUUAUUGGGCGUAAAGAGCUCGUAGGCGGCUUGUCGCGUCGACCGUGAAAACUCGCAGCUCAACUGCGAGCCUGCGGUCGAUACGGGCAGGCUAGAGUUCGGUAGGGGAGACUGGAAUUCCUGGUGUAGCGGUGAAAUGCGCAGAUAUCGGAAGGAACACCAGUGGCGAAAGCGGCUUCCUGGUCCAGCACCGACGUUCAGGCACGAAAGCGCGGGGAGCAAACAGG